rnacentral:rRNA from 1 species
UCAAUAAGCGGAGGAAAAGAAACCAACAGGGAUUGCCCCCAGUAACGGCGAGUGAAGCGGCAAAAGCUCAAAUUUGAAAUCCUGCGGGAAUUGUAAUUUGAAGGUUUCGUGGUCUGAGUCGGCCGCGCCCAAGUCCAUUGGAACAUGGCGCCUGGGAGGGUGAGAGCCCCGUAUGGCGCACGCCGACUCUUUGUACACCGCGGCUCCGACGAGUCGAGUUGUUUGGGAAUGCAGCUCUAAGUGGGUGGUAAAUUCCAUCUAAAGCUAAAUAUUGGCGAGAGACCGAUAGCGAACAAGUACAGUGAUGGAAAGAUGAAAAGCACUUUGAAAAGAGAGUGAAACAGCACGUGAAAUUGUUGAAAGGGAAGGGCUUGCAAGCAGACACGGUUUUACCGGGCCAGCGUCGAAAAGGGGGGAGGAACAAGAACUCGAGAAUGUGGCGCGCACCUUCGGGCGCGCGUGUUAUAGCUCGUGUUGACGCCUCCAUCCCUUUUCGAGGCCUGCGAUUCUAGGACGCUGGCGUAAUGGUUGCAAGCCGCCCGUCUUGAAACACGGACCAAGGAGUCUAACGUCUAUGCGAGUGUUUGGGUGCAAAACCCCAGCGCGGAAUGAAAGUAAGAGGUUGGAGCCGCAAGGCGCACAAUCGACCGACCCUGAAGUGCUCGGACGGGUUUGAGUAGGAGCAUAGCUGUUGGGACCCGAAAGAUGGUGAACUAUGCCUGGAUAGGGUGAAGCCAGAGGAAACUCUGGUGGAGGCUCGCAGCGGUUCUGACGUGCAAAUCGAUCGUCGAAUCUGGGUA